rnacentral:rRNA from 1 species
UACGAAGGGGGCUAGCGUUGUUCGGAAUCACUGGGCGUAAAGCGCACGUAGGCGGCUUCGUAAGUUAGGGGUGAAAUCCCGGGGCUCAACCUCGGAACUGCCUUUGAUACUGCGGGUCUCGAGUCCGAUAGAGGUGGGUGGAAUUCCUAGUGUAGAGGUGAAAUUCGUAGAUAUUAGGAAGAACACCGGUGGCGAAGGCGGCCCACUGGAUCGGCACUGACGCUGAGGUGCGAAAGCGUGGGGAGCAAACAGG